rnacentral:rRNA from 1 species
UACGUAGGGAGCAAGCGUUGUCCGGAAUCAUUGGGCGUAAAGCGCGCGUAGGCGGCCCGGUAAGUCCGCUCUGAAAGUCCAGGGCUUAACCCUGGAAAGCGGGUGGAUACUGCCGGGCUAGAAUCCGGAAGAGGCGAGUGGAAUUCCUGGUGUAGCGGUGGAAUGCGCAGAUAUCAGGAGGAACACCAAUAGCGAAGGCAGCUCGCUGGGACGGUCAUUGACACUGAGGCACGAAAGCGUGGGGAUCAAACAGG